AGAAUGAACGCUGGCGGCGUGCUUUACACAUUCAAGUCGAGCGAGGCGGCCCGCAAGGGCCAGUCGAGCGGCGAACGGGUGAGUAACGCGUGGAUGACCUGCCCUGAGGUGGGGAAUAACCCGGGGAAACUCGGGCUAAUACCGCAUAUGACCGCGAGGUCAAAGAGGGUCGCAAGAUCUCUGCCACAGGACGGGGUCCGCGUUCGAUUAGCUAGGUUGGUAGGGUAAUGGCCUACCAAGGCGACGAUCGAUAGCCGGCCUGAGAGGUGAUACGGCCACAC
rnacentral:rRNA from 1 species